rnacentral:rRNA from 1 species
CUUGCUUCUAUGACGUUAGCGGCGGACGGGUGAGUAACACGUGGGCAACCUGCCUGUAAGACUGGGAUAACUUCGGGAAACCGAAGCUAAUACCGGAUAGGAUCUUCUCCUUCAUGGGAGAUGAUUGAAAGAUGGUUUCGGCUAUCACUUACAGAUGGGCCCGCGGUGCAUUAGCUAGUUGGUGAGGUAACGGCUCACCAAGGCAACGAUGCAUAGCCGACCUGAGAGGGUGAUCGGCCACACUGGGACUGAGACACGGCCCAGACUCCUACGGGAGGCAGCAGUAGGGAAUCUUCCGCAAUGGACGAAAGUCUGACGGAGCAACGCCGCGUGAGUGAUGAAGGCUUUCGGGUCGUAAAACUCUGUUGUUAGGGAAGAACAAGUACGAGAGUAACUGCUUGUACCUUGACGGUACCUAACCAGAAAGCCACGGCUAACUACGUGCCAGCAGCCGCGGUAAUACGUAGGUGGCAAGCGUUAUCCGGAAUUAUUGGGCGUAAAGCGCGCGCAGGCGGUUUCUUAAGUCUGAUGUGAAAGCCCACGGCUCAAC